rnacentral:rRNA from 1 species
UGCAGUCGAACGAGAACGGAUUAUAGCUUGCUAUAAUUGUCAGCUAAGUGGCGCACGGGUGAGUAAUGUAUAGAUAACCUGCCCUUAAGAAAGGAAUAACAGUUGGAAACGACUGCUAAUGCCCUAUAUGCCUUUAAUACAUAAGUAUGCAAGGGAAACGCUUUAGUGCUUAAGGAUGGGUCUGUAUGGUAUCAGCUUGUUGGUGAGGUAAUGGCUCACCAAGGCUAUGACGCCUAACUGGUUUGAGAGGAUGAUCAGUCACACUGGAACUGAGACACGGUCCAGACUCCUACGGGAGGCAGCAGUGGGGAAUAUUGCACAAUGGACGAAAGUCUGAUGCAGCAACGCCGCGUGGAGGAUGACACAUUUCGGUGCGUAAACUCCUUUUAUAUAGGAAGAUAAUGACGGUACUAUAUGAAUAAGCACCGGCUAACUCCGUGCCA